UGAUCCCUGGCUCAGGAUGAACGCUGGCGGCGUGCUUAACACAUGCAAGUCGAACGAUGAUCCCAGCUUGCUGGGGGAUUAGUGGCGAACGGGUGAGUAACACGUGAGUAACCUGCCCUUAACUCUGGGAUAAGCCUGGGAAACUGGGUCUAAUACCGGAUAUGACUCCUCAUCGCAUGGUGGGGGGUGGAAAGCUUUAUUGUGGUUUUGGAUGGACUCGCGGCCUAUCAGCUUGUUGGUGAGGUAAUGGCUCACCAAGGCGACGACGGGUAGCCGGCCUGAGAGGGUGACCGGCCACACUGGGACUGAGACACGGCCCAGACUCCUACGGGAGGCAGCAGUGGGGAAUAUUGCACAAUGGGCGAAAGCCUGAUGCAGCGACGCCGCGUGAGGGAUGACGGCCUUCGGGUUGUAAACCUCUUUCAGUAGGGAAGAAGCGAAAGUGACGGUACCUGCAGAAGAAGCGCCGGC
rnacentral:rRNA from 1 species